CCUACGGGUGGCAGCAGUGAGGAAUAUUGGUCAAUGGCCGGAAGGCUGAACCAGCCAUGCCGCGUGAAGGUCAGUGCCCUAUGGGCGUUAAACUUCUUUUGUGCGGGAGCAAUAAUGGUCAAGUGUGGCCAGACGAGAGUACCGUACGAAUAAGCCUCGGCUUACCUCGUGCCAGCAGCCGCGGUUAUACGGGGGAUGCAAGCGUUUUCCGGAUUUAUUGGGUUUAAAGGGUGCGUAGGCGGUGAGGUAAGUCAGCGGGGAAAUGCCCCCGCUCAACGGGGUGAAGUGCCAUUGAUACUGGCUGGCUGGAAUGCGGAUGCCGUGGGAGGAAUGUGUGGUGUAGCGGUGAAAUGCAUAGAUAUCACGCAGAACACCGAUUGCGAAGGCAUCUCACGAGUCCGCGAUUGACGCUGAUGCACGAAAGCGUGGGUAUCAAACAGGAUUAGAUACCCUUGUAGUC
rnacentral:rRNA from 1 species